rnacentral:tRNA from 1 species
GUGUGGCCGAGAGCUAGGCGGCGAGUUGUAGCCUCGCCGAGGGUAAAAACGUAAGUAGGCGUCCCUGCUACCA